rnacentral:rRNA from 1 species
GAUGAACGCUGGCGGCGUGCCUAACACAUGCAAGUCGAGCGGGAAAUUUUAAAAUGAAGCUUCGGUAGAUUUUUAAGAUGGAGAGCGGCGGACGGGUGAGUAACGCGUAGGCAACCUGCCCUUUGCAGAGGGAUAGCCAUUGGAAACGAUGAUUAAAACCUCAUAACACUAUAUAGUCACAUGGCUGUAUGGUCAAAGAUUUAUCGGCAAAGGAUGGGCCUGCGUCUGAUUAGCUAGUUGGUGGGGUAACGGCCUACCAAGGCGACGAUCAGUAGCCGACCUGAGAGGGUGAUCGGCCACAUUGGAACUGAGACACGGUCCAA